GUGCUCACUUCAGCAGCACAUACACUAAAAU
rnacentral:snRNA from 1 species